AAGUCGUAACAAGGUUUCCGUAGGUGAACCUGCGGAAGGAUCAUUAACACGUAUCCAAACGUUAAACCCCCCUGUGAACCUUCAGUGUUCGUACGUCCGUUAGAAAAAGCAGCAAUCCCUGGUAAAUCAUCGCCGAACAGUUUUCGAUUCAGGGACGUCUGCAAGGAGCGUGCAUGUUGUGCGAGCAAGUGGCCUGGCAUCCCCAAGCAGUUAGUGUCUGAAAGUGUCAUUAACUGUGUAAGGAUGACGCAGUCACGAUCGUUGGAGGCCCACACGGCCGACGACCGGGUCACUGGGCGCAAGCCCCCCUAUAACAAACGCUGCUAAGCGCGGCCGCGAUAAUACGCAGUCGACCAAAAACCGAACAACUGUUAACAAUGGAUAUCUUGGUUCUC
rnacentral:misc_RNA from 1 species